GCAAUGUCUGCAAAUACGGGUCAUAGUCAAGAACAAGAGCAACAACCCGAGUCAUCUUCCGACCAGAAAGGUCCACUUUCUGUUAUUUUAGAUGUUCCCAGGAAUAUUUGGAAGGGAACUAUGCGUCCAUUGAGUGAUUUUGGGUUUGGUAAAAGGAGCAUCUGGGAAGGUGGGGUUGGGUUGUUUAUCGUUUCGGGUACUGUGUUGUUGGCACUCAGCUUAGCUUGGUUGAGAGGGUUUCAGCUGCGGUCUAGGUUUAGGAAGUAUUUAGCUGUGCUUGAGUUUGAGCAGGCUUGUGGCAUCUGCACUGGCACACCUGUUAGAAUCAGAGGAGUAAGUAUUGGUAAUGUGAU
rnacentral:misc_RNA from 1 species